AUUGAACGCUGGCGGCAGGCCUAACACAUGCAAGUCGAACGGUAACAGGAAGAAGCUUGCUUCUUUGCUGACGAGUGGCGGACGGGUGAGCAAUGUCUGGGAAACUGCCUGAUGGAGGGGGAUAACUACUGGAAACGGUCGCUAAUACCGCAUAACGUCGCAAGACCAAAGAGGGGGACCUUCGGGCCUCUUGCCAUCUGAUGUGCCCAGAUGGGAUUAGCUAGUAGGUGGGGUAACGGCUCACCUAGGCGACGAUCCCUAGCUGGUCUGAGAUGAGGACUAGCCACACGGGAACUGAGACACGGUCCAGGCUCCUACGGGAGGCAGCAGUGGGGAAUAUUGCACAAUGGGCGCAAGCCUGAUGCAGCCAUGCCGCGUGUAUGAAGAAGGCCUUCGGGUUGUAAAGUACUUUCAGCGGGGAGGAAGGGAGUAAAGUUAAUACCUUUGCUCAUUGACGUUACCCGCAGAAGAAGCACCGGCUAACUCCGUG
rnacentral:rRNA from 1 species